rnacentral:misc_RNA from 1 species
CCCGACUUCAUUAAUUACCCGCUACUUAGGUCGUUGACGUUGAAUCCAUGGCGAUAAUUCGUCGUCGUUUACCCUUCACCUGUGCCCCCCUCCUCUUCCUCUUCCAGUUCCUCCAACUCCAUACCCUAUCAUUUACUCUGGCACUCGCUCUUCUCCACCCCAACGAUACCCACAUCCUCCAGGAUGUUUUGAAUGAGAUAUCCAAAAGGCAAAAUUGGGAUUUUGAUGGAAUUACGUCUUCCAAAUUGCAAUUGAGCAAGGUUAGAUUUGGUAUUGCCCAGAGAUACGAGUUCCGGAUCCGAUUUGGGACGAAUGAUUUGAUUCUAAAAUUCCCGGACGAAAUGGGAUCGUGGAACAAGUUCAACGAAGAAAGGAAUGAUUUUGGAAACUUUGUUAGGGAGCUUGGUUCCUCAGCUGUACUUGACACCUUCAUAGUGGAGGGUCCAUUUGAUUUGCGUGUCGCUGGCCAAGACGAGCUCUCCUUGUUGUUACCGCUGAACGCUUCGCACAGCGGUUUGAAAAGGAUACUAG